rnacentral:rRNA from 1 species
GCGGCGAACGGCGUAGUAAGGCGUAGGAACGUACCCCUCGGUCGGGAAUAACCACGGGAAACUGUGGAUAAUGCCCGAUGACCUCUGAGGAGCAAAGGUGAGAUUCCGCCGGGGGAGCGGCCUACGUGAUAUUAGCUGGAUGGUGAGGUAAUGGCUCACCAUGGCAAUGAUGUCUAGGGGGUGUGAGAGCAUGGCCCCCACGACCGGAACUGAGACACUGUCCGGACACCUACGGGUGGCUGCAGUCGAGAAUCUUCGGCAAUGCGCGAAAGCGUGACCGAGCGAUGCCGCGUGGUGGAUGAAGGCCCUUGGGUUGUAAACACCUGUCAGAGGGGAUGAAAUCCUGGUUGGCUAUCCUUCCAGGUUGACAGAGCCUCAAAGGAAGCACGGGCUAAGUACGUGCCAGCAGCCGCGGUAACACGUACUGUGCGAACGUUAUUCGGAAUCACUGGGCUUAAAGGGUGCGUAGGCGGCGAAUCAAGUCAGGUGUGAAAGGCCUGAGCUCAACUGAGGCAUUGCGCUUGAAACUGAUUCGCUUGAGUAUUUCAGGGGUGUGCGGAACUGCCAGUGGAGCGGUGAAAUGCGUAGAUAUCAGGAGGAACACCGGUGGCGAAAGCGGCUCACUGGACCAUUACUGACGCUGAGGUGCGAAAGCUAGGGUAGCGAACGGGAUUAGAUACCCUGGUA